rnacentral:lncRNA from 1 species
CUAACCUGCCUAGUAAUCCUAAUUAACCUUGGUAAGUCUUUAAGUGUCACUUUAAGCUGUAUAAAAGUUUUGAAAAACAUCUAGUCAAAUAUUAUUUACUGUCAUCUUGGGAAAGAUAAAAUAAAUCAGUUAUUAGAGAUGAGUUAUUAAAACUAUUAUGUUUAGAAAUAUGCUAAAAGAAUCUUCUCUCCGAUAAACAAAAACUGUGGAAAAAUAUAAACGGGGGCUGAUAAUUUAGUGGGCUAAUAAUUCUGACUUCAACUGUAUAUGCAUUUAUGAAUGUAUCAUAUCAUCUUUGCGUUAAAUUACAAAAAACAAAUUACUGCUUAUAUGCGAGGUGUUUCCAUCACAGCAUCUAUGUGGCUGAGAGUAAUUGUUAUUCUCUUUUCCGGCUGCCAUUAUCAGUCUCACACAAUAUUUUUUUUCCUUUUUCUGAAAGUCUUGAUAACACGAUUGAGGAGUUUUUCUUUCAUUAUUUUAGCAAAUAGGAUUGUAAAAAAAAAUAUUUGUUGUACUCUCCGAUUCACUGCGCUCUAAAUUUAACUAGAGCCAUUACUAUUAUUACUGAAAAACCUGGAAAAAAAAGGGUCUAUCGGAAUUUGUGGGAGAAAGUGAAGAUUGGACAAGAUUUGCGAAUUGAAAGAGACAAUGCUGUGGCCUUCUCAGCUUUUUCCAUUACUCUGUGUGUGCAGGCUGAUAUUUUUAACCUAUCUGAGACACGUGUUUUUGUCCUCCUCCCUCAGGCUGACAUGGGAAUGACCUAUUCAGAGCUGUCUGUGAUCGGCAGACUCAGGAAGAUCUCCAAGUGUGGCCCGUAUAGCAUGUUUUGCAAGCUCAUUAGUUCGUGGAAAGACACCUUCUCUCCCUCACAGGUGGCCACGAAAGUGAAACAUUUCUUUCGGAUGUACUCAAUCAAUAGACAUAAGAUGACAACGGUAACACCCUCUUAUCAUGCUGAUAGCUACGGUCCGGAUGACAACCGCUUUGACCUCCGUCCUUUCCUUUACAACACGCGGUGGAGCUGGCAAUUCCGCUGCAUCGACAAUGAGGUAGCUAAGAUGGAGUGAUAUGGAGGACAUCUACACAUGUAAAAGCUAUCAGAAUCAACUUAUCCUCGGUCCAAAGAUUAACCUCAGCCACUGAUGUAAUUGUGGACACUUGCUUCUCAACAUUCUUUCAGUCAGACUGUCAACGCACUGUAUCUUUCUCUAAAUUAUCAAUAGUGUUCUUCUUAGGAUGUGUAAAUCCUAAUGUCUUUAGCUACAGUAUGUAUGUUCGAAUUACAAUGCAAAUGAUGAUGUUUAUGAUUAUUAAUAUAGUAUUUGAUAAUGAUAGUUGUUUGAAAAUGAAUAGAGGUGAAAAUAGUACAUAUGGUAGAGACAUAAUCUGUGAUACUGUAAUUACAAUUUUCCUUGUGCAACUCGCCAAUAAACAACAUCAGAUCAGCUGAAUCUAUUUUACCAAGAUCAUGUCAGUGCAGUCUCAAUGAUCACUGGGUCAUUCCUGUUGCUGGAUCUCUUGAACUUUGUUACUUGUAAAAAUGAACAUUCUAUAUAAGACAUUUCGCUAUAAAAAGAGUUAGUGUACUCGUGUAUAUAUAAGGAUUAUAUUUUAAUGUAGCAUACUUAUUGCAAAUAUGUUUUUGUAAAGUUCAGGUAUGCUAUUUAAAUUGUUAUUAGAUUAUCUGCGGAGGAGCAAUAAUUCAUGAUUAAAGAUUAAAGAUUUCUCUCUCACACACACACAUGCAUAUACAGUUGAAGUCGGAAUUAUUAGCCCUUAGAUUUUUUUUUUUUCCCUUUUUAAAUAUUUCCCAAAUGAUGUUUAACAGAGCAAGAACAUUUUCACAGUAUAUCUGAUAAUAUUUUUUCUUCUGGAGAAAGUCUUAUUUGUUAUAUUUUGGCUAAAAACAGAUUUAAAUUUUGAAAAAGCUAUUUUAAGGACAUAAUUAUUAGCUCCUUAAGCUAUAUAUAUUUCUUGAUAGUCUACAGAACAAACCACUGUUAUGCAAUCACUUCCCUAAUUGCCCUAACCUGCCUGGUUAAACCCAAUUAACCUAAUUAAGCCUUUAAAGGUCACUUUAAGCUGUAUAGAAGUGUCUUGAAAAAUAUCUAGUCAAAUAUUAUUUACUGUCAUCAUGGCAAAGAUAAAAUAAAUCAGUUAUUAGAGAUGAGUUAUUAAAACUGUUAUGUUUAGAAAUGUUGAAGUCUCUCAGUUAAACAGAAAUUGAGGAAAAAAAAUAAACAGGGGGGCAAAUAAUUCUGACUUCAACUGUAUAAAACCCCUUUGACUGCCACUCUACCAAACGGUUGACCAUGUUUUGACUGUUUUAAAUAAUGACUGUUAAAGUAUUUUAAAGAAUGACUGUUUUAAAUAAUGUCUUACACACAGCAUUGUUGGUUUACAAAAAAAUCAAGCACACAUAAUCUUGUUGCAAUACUACACUUGAUUUUGGUUUUACUGUAAAUCAACAACACCAAGAAAACAUGUUAAAUGAGAAUCUGAAAUAUUUUACGGCAUACUUUUAAAAAUAAAGGUGAUUUAGUAUUCAAAUUUAUUUUAUUUAGAAUAUUAAAAAAAAAAAAAUUGGUCUUACACUUUAUAAUUUUUAUUUUUCAUUUGUAUUAAUUUCGGUACUUUUACCAUACACCAACAAAUCAACCAUUUGGUAGAGGUUGAUAUUUUAGAAAUUAUGGAAUGCGUUGGAAAAAAAAAUGCAUUGAGUGUGUUAAGUAGCGAGAUUAGGAGUUAAAAAAAUGCAAUCCAAUUUUUUUUUCUUGGUAAGGUAGUUAAAAUGUUAAUUACUGUAUAUUACGUAAAUAUACAUAUGUAUAUU